rnacentral:lncRNA from 1 species
GUUCAAACCAUUCAUUUUAUUAGGAAAUUGGAAUGAGUGAGACUUUCCUUACAGCUCCAAUAUCUAGUUGCUCAUAAUUGUCCGUAACCGGGGACACGGCUAAGUACUUAGUUUGACACUCUCGAGAGGUGGUACACUUUACCCACAAGAAAUCGACGUGUUAAUCCCUUGCUGUCCUCAGGGUAGAGUAGCAACGGCAUCGAUUACAGGAAUUUUCAGAACAUAUUCCCCCAAACCACCCGAGGGACGCGCCCCCAUUUUGGCCGGGCCGGUCCGGUUUUCUAUUUUUUUUUCUUUUAGCCUUUUCUUUUUCUGCUUUUCCCAUUUCUUUGAUAUCUUUUGAGUUUGAACUCCAAAUUGGUCCAAAUAAAUUCCAGAAAAUUUGUAAAAUCAUGUCCUACCAUGAUACAACUUUUGGGAGUAGAUUCCCCUCAAAAUAAAAUAUAUAAAAAUACAUUUGCCCUAUAAAUGCCUUUAGGGCUAUAUAUCUGUUUGAAUAAAAUACUUUUUCAACUCCAAAUAAUUAACCAAAAAUUAUGGGAUAGCUUAUAUAUGCAUUAAAUCCUUUUUAUACAUCAACCUUAUUGGUUUGAAAAUCCAAAGGUUACAGGGGUGUAAUCAAAAUCUCUUAAAGCCUUUUGUGAUUCAAAAUUUGAAUUCAAACAUGCAAUUGUGGCAUGAUGCUCAUGGAUGCAAUGCACAUGUAAAAGUUUGAAAUUUUGGGAUGUUACACCCCUAACCCCCUUAAGAUGAAUCUCGUCCUCGAGAUUCGGUGUGGCUAGCAAAAAGGUGUGGGUGGUCUUCUCGAAGAUCAUCUUCGCGUUCCCAAGUGGCUUCUUCUUCUGUGUGAUGGUCCCACUGAACUUUGCAAAACUUGAUGGUCUUGGAUCGGGUCUGUCUCUCAGCUGUAUCUAAGAUCCUGACCGGUUUCUCCUCAUAGGUGAGGUCACUCUGUAACUGGACUUCCUCAAGUGGAAUCGUAUCCCUCAGGGGUGUGUCGGCCAUCUCGGGGUGACACUUCUUCAGUUGCGAUACAUGAAAGACAUUGUGGACAUUGGACAGUGCUUCCGGCAAAUCCAACUUGUAGGCUACCUCUCCUUGUCGCGACAAUAUCUUGAAAGGUCCGAUGAAUCGGGGUGCUAACUUCCCUUUUGUACCAAAUCUCUUGACACCGCGUAUCGGUGAAACUCUGAGAUACGCCCUAUCUUCAGCUUCAUAGGUAACCUCCCUACGUUUUGUAUCCGCAUAGCUCUUUUGUCUUGACUGAGCUACCUUCAGUCGGUCUCAGAUGAGUCUAACCUUUUCUUCGGCAUCUUUUAUCAUGUCUGGGCCGAAUAGGCUACGGUCUCCUACACCAUCCCAUAACAAUGGUGUUCUGCAUUUCAAUGCUGGCUUGGAAGUUGUUGUUGUACAAGAAUUCUGCAUACGGCAGAUUGUCAUCCCAACUAGACCCAUAAUCUAGUGCGCAGGCUCUCAACAUAUCUUCAAGGAUCUGGUUAACUCUCUCGGUCUGUCCAUCCGUCUGCGGAUGAAAGGCUGUACUGAAUUCUAGUCUCGUUCCUAGAGACUCAUGUAGUUAUCCCCAAAAUCUUGAGGUAAAUUGGGUACCUCUGUCUGAAACUAUUUCCUUGGGUACUCCGUGUAAACACACUAUUCUGGACAUGUAGCGUUUCGCUAACUGUGCACUGGUGUAUGUAGUCUUCACUGGUAUGAAGUGGACAACCUUGGUCAAACGGUCAACCACUACCCAAAUGGAAUCAUAUCCUGAUCUAGUCCUUGGUAGCCCGGUGAUAAAGUCCAUGCCGACUUUAUCCCAUUUCCAGUUCGGUAUAGGCAAUGGUCUCAGUAAUCCCGCUGGUUUCUGGUGUUCAGCUUUAACUCUACUGCACACAUCGCACAAGGCAAUGAACUCUGCGAUGUCACGCUUCAAUCCGGACCACCAAAAUGUUUCCUUGAGGUCCAUGUACAUCUUUGUGUUCCCAGGGUGGAUUGAGUACGGUGAAUCGUGCGCUUCUUGCAAAAUUAGCUUUCUGAUUUCCGGAUCCUGCGGUACACAAAUGCGUUUACCGAACCAUAUGGUUCCUUGGUCAUCCUGACGAAAAUCUUUGGCCUUUCCGUUAAGCAUAUUCUCUUUUAUUUCCUGUAUUUCUGAGUCAUCCUUCUGUGCUUCUCUAAUCUUGUCUAGCAGUGUGGGUUGCACUUCCAAAGCGGCUAAGUAACCUUCCGGUACUAUUUCCAGUCUGAGGUCUUUGAACUGUUCGCACAACUCUGGUGGUAACUCUCCAGUUGUUACUCCAUUUAAAUAGCCCUUGCGGCUCAAAGCAUCUGCUACAACAUUAGCCUUGCCUGGAUGGUAUUGUAAAUUCAGGUCAUAAUCUUUUAUCAGUUCUAACCAUCUUCUCUGCCUCAAAUUCAACUCCUUCUGAGUGAAAAUGUACUUCAGACUCUUGUGGUCAGUAAACAGCUCACAGUGCUUUCCCAUCAGAUAGUGCCUCCAGGUCUUCAAAGCGUGCACUACUGAUGCUAACUCCAAGUCAUGAGUGGGGUAAUUGCCUUUGUGGCUCUUUAGUUGCUGCGAAGCGUACGCUACAACUCUUCCUCCUUGCAUCAACACUCCUCCCAAUCCUUGACGUGAGGCAUCACAGUAUACUUGAAAAUCCUCUUGUAGGUCAGGCAAAACAUGGAUGGGUGCGGACACUAGUCUUUUCUUCAAUUCAUGGAAACUUUCUUCACAGUUCUCAUUCCAGGCAAACUUCUUUUCCUUCUUUAAGAGCUCAGUCAUGGGUUUCGCUAUUUUGGAGAAAUUCUCAAUGAACCUCCGGUAAUAACCAGCAAGUCCAAGGAAACUGCGGACUUCUCCGACGUUCUUCGGUGCCUCCCAUUCUGUAACUGCUGCAACCUUAGCUGGGUCAACGGCUACUCCGGCUUCUGACACUAUGUGUCCAAGAAAGCUGACUUCUGAUAACCAAAAUUCACACUUGCUGAAUUUGGCGUACAGCUGGUGCGUUCUCAACUUCUCUAAAAUCAUGCGCAGAUGCUGCUCAUGUUCCUCUUUGCUCUUGGAAUAAAUCAAGAUGUCAUCUAUGAAGACCACGACAAACUUGUCCAAGAAUUCCAUGAACACCUUGUUCAUCAUGUUCAUGAAGUAUGCAGGUGCAUUAGUCAAUGCAAAAGGCAUCACGGUGUAUUCAUACAGUCCAUACCUAGUGGUGAAUGCCGUCUUGGGUAUAUCCAUCUCCCGAAUUUUCAACUGAAAAUAUCCUGAUCGCAGAUCGAUCUUUGAGAACACUUGAGCUCCCUUCAACUGGUCGAAUAAAUCAUUGAUUAUGGGCAAAGGAUCUUAUUCUUUAUCGUCACCUCGUUGAGUGAACGAUAGUCAAUGCACAUCCGUUGGCUCUUGUCCUUCUUUUCUACAUACAGGACAGGUGCUCCCCAGGGUGAUGAACUAGGGCGGAUGAAUCCUUUCGCUAACUGUUCAGCUAGCUGCUUCUUCAAUUCCUUCAACUCGUCCACAGCCAUCUUAUAUGGUCUCUUGGCUAUGGGUCCACUUCCUGGCAUUAACUCAAUAAGGAACUCCACAUCACGGUCCUGUGGCAUGCCUGGUAAUUCCUCUGGAAACACGUCUGGGUAUUCCUUCAGUAUUGGUACAUCGUCCAUGCUAACCCCCUUAAGAGCAUUAACCUUGGGUCUCUUAAGCUCAUGGGUUGACUUGUACCGGAUGCGUCUCUUGUAUGGGGUAGUGAGUGUGACAGUCCUCUGGGCACAAUCUACUAACCCUUCAUAUAAGGUCAACCAGUCCAUUCCCAAGAUUAGGUCCAGUCCUCGGGAAUCUAUAACUAUGAGAUCAGAGGGAAAAUUGUGUCUCCCAAUACUUAGGGGUAGCUGGCGACAGUGUCGGGUUGCUAGGAUUGUUCCACCUGGUGAGUUCACUUUCAUGGGUCUAGCCAUGGUCUUAGAGGGUAAUUUUCCUCUUUCUACUAAUACUCUUGAAAUGAAUGAAUGCGAUGCUCCAGUGUCAAACAGAACUAGUACUUCAAAAGCAUUAAUGUGGAAGGUGCAAGUAUGAUACCUGGUUCCUGGGUGAUCUCUUCCACAUCCACGUGAUUCACGUGGCCCUUCUGGAAUGGAUUAGGCUUGUUCCCAGUGCCAUCUUGGUUGUCCGGGCAGUUGGUGGCAUAGUGUCCCAUCUUGUGACACUUGUAGCACUCCACCUUGCUCAUGUCCUUAUUGGCAUUGUGGUUCUGACCAUUGUUGUUCUGCCAUUGCCGUUGUUCCUGCCGUUCCCGUUGCCAUUGAUGGGCCUUGGGCGAGUGAACUGGUGCUGUUGCUGAUGCUGGUGCUGUUGAUGGUGUCGGUUCACAUUGCCACCCUGAUGGUGGUGUCCUUGGUUUCCAUGGCGGUGGUGGUGACUAUUUUCCCCACUGCGAUGGCUGUUCUGGUUCCCGGUCUUGCUCAAGGAGGAACUGCCACUUCCGUCAUAGGAGGUGCGCUGCUUCUGGUGCGGCCCAGUGUGAGAGCCCCCGUGGUGAAAUCUCUUCUUGCGGCUCUCCAUCUGAGUGAGCUUACUCUCCAGAAUGAUGGCCUUGUCAAUCAAAGACUGGUAGGUGGGGGUGUAAGCAAUAGCAAGUUGAACUGACAGCUCGUCGUUCAGGCCGUCCAAAAACUUCUCCCUGUGCCUGGCAUCGGUGUUCACAUCAUCCGGUGCAUAGCGGGACAGCUGGUUGAAUACUUCUAUGUAUUCCGACACUGAGCGGCUUCCUUGCCGUAGCCUGUGAAACUCUUUCUUUUUCAGGCCGAGCACUCCCGCAGAGAUGUGGGCGGUACGGAAGGCUUCCUGGAACAUGUCCCAGGUGACAUCCUCGAUGGGGGUGGUGAUCUGAAUGUUUUCCCACCAUGACGCUGCGGGUCCUUCUAACAAAUGAGCUGCAAAACGCACUUUCUCUUCGUCAGUGCAGUUGACGGUGACCAAGUUCUUGUUGACUGAACGAAGCCAAUCGUCAGCCAUAAUAGGCUCAGCGGAGCUGGAAAAAGUGGGCGGGCGCAAACGUAGAAAUCUUGUCAACAUGUCCACUUGCGGUGGGUGGUGCUGCUGGUUGUUGUUGGGGUUCUGCUGGUGGUUGGCAUUGUUGUUGGCUAACUGCUGUGUAAUCAUCUGAAAAAGUUGGGUCUGGGCGGCCAAUAACUGUUGCAUGGUGGCAGCAUUCCCUUCUGCGUCGGAAUUGUUAGCCUCGGCAUUGUUGGUGGGGUUCCGGCGUUUCGGAGGCAUCUGUUUAGGGUAGCAUAGAUGAGGAAACAGAUAGAAUAGAGCUAAGGAUAACUAAACCCUCAAAACGAGGUAGUAACUCAAGCAUAUAUCAAUCAUACACUCAUCAAUCAUAAAAGUUUUGGAAAACAUAGCACAAUACACUUGUUUAUGGUGGGGCAUUGCCCAUAAGGAAAAGAGUACGAAGAAAAGCAAUCGACCUACAUUGCCAUACACAUAGAUUGUAUGGUCAAUGACUAACUUGCAAUGGUGAUAACGAUAAAAACUAAUAAAAGCUGGUAGGCAUGAAUAAAUCUAAGGGAGUGUGGUUGUCGGUGUGGUCCCGUUCGCCUUCAUCUUGGAGCGGGUGUUGGUAGCAGGGGUGUCCAUCUCGUGGACCUCUUGGGGCUCCUCCUCAGUCGGUUCCUCCUCCUGAGGCUCCAUCUCCUGAUCUUGUGGCGGAGGUGGGAACUGGACAGGCGCCGGUGCUGCACCUGGUGCUGCUGCGGCUGCUGCUGCGAUGAACGCCUGAAACUGCUCGCAGUAGUAGCGAGCCUGGUCCCUCUCGUACUGCAGCUGCUCGAUGGCGUCUCCCAUGUUGAGGACGGUGUUCUCCAACACGACCUUGUCCUCAAGCCACUGGGUCUUCUCACCCAGCAGGUUACCAACCUGCUCCUCGGCGAGGUCGGCCCUGGCCAUCUCGUGCUCGAGACAAGACUCCAAGUCCACGGUGUUUAUCUCCAUGUUCUCGAAGUGGGUCGUCACUGGGGUUGCAUCCUCGUCGUUGGUCGUAGCCACUGCCGAGCAUGCAUGGUUCCGCCUUCCAAAGAGGAGGAAGGGGGAGUCCUCGGGGAACUCGUGCCGAUAGUCCCGGCACACCUGUGCGAAGGCGCACUGCAUGGCAAACUGAAGGCCCUGCUCGAAUGUGGGGUAGCGGCUGAUGAAGGUGAUAUCCGGUGUAGCUGGCGCGAUGUCACGCCCUCGGAUCUUCGCCUCGAUCUCCCACCGUGGCUGCCAUCCCUCGGGUGCGGCGGUCUCAACUCGGCCUCUGAACCUGGGUGGUGGCAGGUCGAGGAAAGCACACAGUGCCGCCAAAGGGGCACUGAACAGCUGGUCGUCGUCCGUGGAGGGGUAGUAGACGCGGGUGAACGGCGGUACAUUGCCGAACGGUGUUGGGCUUCCCAUCUAUGGAAAAUAAAGAAGGAGAUAAGGGAGUAUCAGUGACAUGAUCAAAUGGUCGAGUGUAAGUAAAAAUAAAAUAAAAGUGGUAGAGUGGGAAUCAAGUGAUAAACAUUAAUAUCAAGGGUGGAAAUGUAAAUAUAAAAUUGGAUGCAUACUAACAUGUGAACAACAUGGCAACAAGAUUAUAGUGGUGUAUGGUGUAAGAAUCAAAUAUGCAUCUGCAGUAUAAUAUAAUAAACAUGCAUAUGUGGUAAUAAGCAUAGUAUUCGGUGUAUAUGUGGAAUAAAACAAUAAACAUGUCAUGCAUAUGUAGAUAUAAAUGCAAAGAUUUAGAUGAAUAGGGAUAAAGAAUAAAAUGUAUGUAUAUAGAUAUAGAUCAGAUAGGGAUAAGAAAUAAUCCUAAGGUUUGGUCUUUGGUCUGUCUUAUCCUAAUCCAAACUAGGGUCACGUUCCUACAGGCAACACAUUGCUCUGAUACCAUCUGAAGCGAUCCCCCUUCACCAAGGGUUCGAUCUUUGUGCUUAUUUGUGCUAGUCCCUGGAUCGACUCACUAGCACACACAGUUCAAGAUGUAAUACCAAGAUACAAUGGUCAAAAGUACUUUAUUACAUCGUAUCAUCCAGAACUUAAAUUGUACUUACAAACUUGCAUGACCUCCUAGGCCAGCAUAAACAAAUAAUGUUCAAAAUCAUGAUAACAAAGUAUCACGAAGCUGCAGCGGAAAAGUAGAGAAAAAAGGGCCUCAUCUACUCCCAGAGGAGAGAGCAUGUUGGAAUGUAAGCACAUGACUCAGAGAAAUAUCAACGAACCUCACUCUUCGUCAGUUUCACCUGCAUUAUUAAUUGCAGCCACUACGUGGUCAAUACAUUUGAAUGUAUUGGCAAGCUCACCAGAGUUAUAAAGGACCUACCAAGUACAUGCAUAGUUUGGCUAGGUGGGGUUUGGCUAUUUUGCAUAGAAGCAUCAUUAUUCAAAUCCUAUCAUUUUUAGACAAAUAGUUUUGAAUUCUGUUGGACACGGGGUAGAAACACCCAUGCUCCUAUUAACCUAGGCACAUUGAGUAUAAACAUCAAUGCUCCUACCCAGUUCAAACCAUUCAUUUUAUUAGGAAAUUGGAAUGAGUGAGACUUUCCUUACAGCUCCAAUAUCUAGUUGCUCAUAAUUGUCCGUAACCGGGGACACGGCUAAGUACUUAGUUUGACACUCUCGAGAGGUGGUACACUUUACCCACAAGAAAUCGACGUGUUAAUCCCUUGCUGUCCUCAGGGUAGAGUAGCAACGGCAUCGAUUACAGGAAUUUUCAGAACAUAUUCCCCCAAACCACCCGAGGGACGCGCCCCCAUUUUGGCCGGGCCGGUCCGGUUUUCUAUUUUUUUUUCUUUUAGCCUUUUCUUUUUCUGCUUUUCCCAUUUCUUUGAUAUCUUUUGAGUUUGAACUCCAAAUUGGUCCAAAUAAAUUCCAGAAAAUUUGUAAAAUCAUGUCCUACCAUGAUACAACUUUUGGGAGUAGAUUCCCCUCAAAAUAAAAUAUAUAAAAAUACAUUUGCCCUAUAAAUGCCUUUAGGGCUAUAUAUCUGUUUGAAUAAAAUACUUUUUCAACUCCAAAUAAUUAACCAAAAAUUAUGGGAUAGCUUAUAUAUGCAUUAAAUCCUUUUUAUACAUCAACCUUAUUGGUUUGAAAAUCCAAAGGUUACAGGGGUGUAAUCAAAAUCUCUUAAAGCCUUUUGUGAUUCAAAAUUUGAAUUCAAACAUGCAAUUGUGGCAUGAUGCUCAUGGAUGCAAUGCACAUGUAAAAGUUUGAAAUUUUGGGAUGUUACACCCUAACCCUAACAGCAGAGGCAGAGGGGAGCACGCGCACCUGGGGUCGGAGGAAGACGGCGUGGGGUU